rnacentral:rRNA from 1 species
GACGAACGCUGGCGGCGUGCUUAACACAUGCAAGUCGAACGGAAAGGCCCUGCUUUUGUGGGGUGCUCGAGUGGCGAACGGGUGAGUAACACGUGAGUAACCUGCCCUUGACUUUGGGAUAACCUCAGGAAACUGGGGCUAAUACCGGAUAGGAGCUCCUGCUGCAUGGUGGGGGUUGGAAAGUUUCGGCGGUUGGGGAUGGACUCGCGGCUUAUCAGCUUGUUGGUGGGGUAGUGGCUUACCAAGGCUUUGACGGGUAGCCGGCCUGAGAGGGUGACCGGCCACAUUGGGACUGAGAUACGGCCCAGACUCCUACGGGAGGCAGGAGUGGGGAAUAUUGCACAAUGGGCGGAAGCCUGAUGCAGCAACGCCGCGUGCGGGAUGACGGCCUUCGGGUUGUGAACCGCUUUCGCCUGUGACGAAGCGUGAGUGACGGUAAUGGGUAAAGAAGCACCGGCUAACUACGUG